CCACCACCACCACCACCACCACCCGAGCCUCCGGUUCCGCCACCGUUAGCGGAGGAAGAGACGAGAGUGGUGUGGAAUCGUUUACGAGAAGUUGACCAAGUGAGAGAGGGGGUAAAGACUUUAGAAGAAGAGGUGGAGAUGCGAGGAGUGAUGAUAGGAAAGCUCUUAUGGUAGUGGUGGUGGUUUGGCGAGUGAAAAGAGAGGGAGCGCGUUGAGAGGUUGCAGAAGGUGGCGACUGCCAUUACAGAGAGAUAGAGAGAGAGAGAGAGA
rnacentral:misc_RNA from 1 species